rnacentral:rRNA from 1 species
CAAUAGCGUAUAUUAAAGUUGUUGCGGUUAAAAGCUCGUAGUUGGAUUUCUGUUGAGGGCGACCGGUGUACACUUCGUGUAUUAUUUGGUUCGGUCUCGGCAUCCUCUUGGGGAACGUUUCUGGACUUUAUUGGACAGGGCGGAAUUCAAGACUUUUACUUUGAGGAAAUUAGAGUGUUCACGGCAGGCAAGCGCUUUGAAUACAUUAGCAUGGAAUAAUAAUAUAGGACCUUCGUUCUAUUUUGUUGGUUUCUAGAACUUGGGUAAUGAUUAAUAGGGACAAUUGGGGGCAUUCGUAUUAACGCGUCAGAGGUGGAAUUCUUAGAUUGCGUUACGACGAACUACUGCGAAAGCAUUUGCCAAGGAUGUUUUCAUUGAUCAAGAACGAAAGUAUGGGAUCGAAGACGAUCAGAU